AGGCUUUGGCAAUGGGGGAAACCCUGACCAAGCGACGCCGCGUGGAGGAUGAAGGCCCUUGGGUUGUAAACUCCUUUUGCCGGGGAAGAAGUGCGAUCAGGUGAACAAUCUGGUCGUUUGACGGUACCUGGCGAAUAAGCUCCGGCCAACUCCGUGCCAGCAGCCGCGGUAACACGGGGGGAGCAAGCGUUGUUCGGAAUCACUGGGCGUAAAGGGCGUGUAGGCGGUCAGGUAAGUGGAAUGUGAAAUGCCCCGGCUCACCCGGGGACCGGCAUCCCAAACUGCCUGGCUUGAGUAUGGGAGAGGAUGGAGGAAUUCCUGGUGUAGCGGUGAAAUGCGUAGAUAUCAGGAGGAACACCGGUGGCGAAGGCGUCCAUCUGGCCCAAUACUGACGCUGAGGCGCGAAAGCUAGGGGAGCAAACGGGAUUAGA
rnacentral:rRNA from 1 species